CCUACGGGAGGCUGCAGUGAGGAAUAUUGGUCAAUGGACGCAAGUCUGAACCAGCCAUGCCGCGUGCAGGAAGACGGCUCUAUGAGUUGUAAACUGCUUUUGUACGAGGGUAAACGCAGAUACGCGUAUCUGUCUGAAAGUAUCGUACGAAUAAGGAUCGGCUAACUCCGUGCCAGCAGCCACGGUAAUACGGAGGAUUCAAGCGUUAUCCGGAUUUAUUGGGGUUAAAGGGUGCGUAGGCGGUCGGAUAAGUUAGCGGUGAAAUACCGAUGCUCAACAUCGGGGCUGCGGCUGAUACUGUAGGACUAGAGAUCGGAUGCAGCAGGCGGAAUGUGUAGUGUAGCGGUGAAAUGCAUAGAUAUUACACAGAACACCGAUGGCGAAGGCAGCUUGCUAGGCCGGAUCUGACACUGAUGCACGAAAGCGUGGGGAUCGAACAGGAUUAGAUACCCGGGUAGUC
rnacentral:rRNA from 1 species